AUUGGUGCUUGCAUCAUGAUUUACAUUUGAGUGAGUGGCGAACUGGUGAGUAACACGUGGGAAACCUGCCCAGAAGCGGGGGAUAACACCUGGAAACAGAUGCUAAUACCGCAUAACAACUUGGACCGCAUGGUCCGAGUUUGAAAGAUGGCUUCGGCUAUCACUUUUGGAUGGUCCCGCGGCGUAUUAGCUAGAUGGUGGGGUAACGGCUCACCAUGGCAAUGAUACGUAGCCGACCUGAGAGGGUAAUCGGCCACAUUGGGACUGAGACACGGCCCAAACUCCUACGGGAGGCAGCAGUAGGGAAUCUUCCACAAUGGACGAAAGUCUGAUGGAGCAACGCCGCGUGAGUGAAGAAGGGUUUCGGCUCGUAAAACUCUGUUGUUAAAGAAGAACAUAUCUGAGAGUAACUGUUCAGGUAUUGACGGUAUUUAACCACAAAGCCACGGCUAACUACGUGCCAGCAGCCGCGGUAAUACGUAGGUGGCAAGCGUUGUCCGGAUUUAUUGGGCGUAAAGCGAGCGCAGGCGGUUUUUUAAGUCUGAUGUGAAAGCCUUCGGCUCAACCGAAGAAGUGCAUCGGAAACUGGGAAACUUGAGUGCAGAAGAGGACAGUGGAACUCCAUGUGUAGCGGUGAAAUGCGUAGAUAUAUGGAAGAACACCAGUGGCGAAGGCGGCUGUCUGGUCUGUAACUGACGCUGAGGCUCGAAAGUAUGGGUAGCAAACAGGAUUAGAUACCCUGGUAGUCCAUACCGUAAACGAUGAAUGCUAAGUGUUGGAGGGUUUCCGCCCUUCAGUGCUGCAGCUAACGCAUUAAGCAUUCCGCCUGGGGAGUACGGCCGCAAGGCUGAAACUCAAAGGAAUUGACGGGGGCCCGCACAAGCGGUGGAGCAUGUGGUUUAAUUCGAAGCUACGCGAAGAACCUUACCAGGUCUUGACAUACUAUGCAAAUCUAAGAGAUUAGACGUUCCCUUCGGGGACAUGGAUACAGGUGGUGCAUGGUUGUCGUCAGCUCGUGUCGUGAGAUGUUGGGUUAAGUCCCGCAACGAGCGCAACCCUUAUUAUCAGUUGCCAGCAUUAAGUUGGGCACUCUGGUGAGACUGCCGGUGACAAACCGGAGGAAGGUGGGGAUGACGUCAAAUCAUCAUGCCCCUUAUGACCUGGGCUACACACGUGCUACAAUGGAUGGUACAACGAGUUGCGAACUCGCGAGAGUAAGCUAAUCUCUUAAAGCCAUUCUCAGUUCGGAUUGUAGGCUGCAACUCGCCUACAUGAA
rnacentral:rRNA from 2 species